AUUGAACGCUGGCGGCAGGCCUAACACAUGCAAGUCGAGCGGCAGCGACUUAACUGAACCUUCGGGGAACGUUAAGGGCGGCGAGCGGCGGACGGGUGAGUAAUGCCUGGGAAUAUGCCCUGAUGUGGGGGAUAGCUAUUGGAAACGAUAGCUAAUACCGCAUAAUCUCUUCGGAGCAAAGAGGGGGACCUUCGGGCCUCUCGCGUCAGGAUUAGCCCAGGUGGGAUUAGCUUGUUGGUGAGGUAAUGGCUCACCAAGGCAACGAUCCCUAGCUGGUCUGAGAGGAUGAUCAGCCACACUGGAACUGAGACACGGUCCAGACUCCUACGGGAGGCAGCAGUGGGGAAUAUUGCACAAUGGGGGAAACCCUGAUGCAGCCAUGCCGCGUGUGUGAAGAAGGCCUUCGGGUUGUAAAGCACUUUCAGUAGGGAGGAAGGUAGUGUAGCUAACACCUGCAUUAUUUGACGUUACCUACAGAAGAAGCACCGGCUAACUCCGUGCCAGCAGCCGCGGUAAUACGGAGGGUGCGAGCGUUAAUCGGAAUUACUGGGCGUAAAGCGCAUGCAGGCGGCCUGUUAAGUCAGAUGUGAAAGCCCGGGGCUUAACCUCGGAAUUGCAUUUGAAACUGGCAGGCUAGAGUCUUGUAGAGGGGGGUAGAAUUUCAGGUGUAGCGGUGAAAUGCGUAGAGAUCUGAAGGAAUACCAGUGGCGAAGGCGGCCCCCUGGACAAAGACUGACGCUCAGAUGCGAAAGCGUGGGGAGCAAACAGG
rnacentral:rRNA from 1 species